CUACGGGAGGCAGCAGUAGGGAAUCUUCCGCAAUGGACGAAAGUCUGACGGAGCAACGCCGCGUGAGUGAUGAAGGUUUUCGGAUCGUAAAGCUCUGUUGUUAGGGAAGAACAAGUGCGAGAGUAACUGCUCGCACCUUGACGGUACCUAACCAGAAAGCCACGGCUAACUACGUGCCAGCAGCCGCGGUAAUACGUAGGUGGCAAGCGUUGUCCGGAAUUAUUGGGCGUAAAGGGCUCGCAGGCGGUUUCUUAAGUCUGAUGUGAAAGCCCCCGGCUCAACCGGGGAGGGUCAUUGGAAACUGGGAAACUUGAGUGCAGAAGAGGAGAGUGGAAUUCCACGUGUAGCGGUGAAAUGCGUAGAGAUGUGGAGGAACACCAGUGGCGAAGGCGACUCUCUGGUCUGUAACUGACGCUGAGGAGCGAAAGCGUGGGGAGCGAACAGGAUUAGAUACCCUGGUAGUCCACGCCGUAAACGAUGAGUGCUAAGUGUUAGGGGGUUUCCGCCCCUUAGUGCUGCAGCUAACGCAUUAAGCACUCCGCCUGGGGAGUACGGUCGCAAGACUGAAACUCAAAGGAAUUGACGGGGGCCCGCACAAGCGGUGGAGCAUGUGGUUUAAUUCGAAGCAACGCGAAGAACCUUACCAGGUCUUGACAUCCUCUGACAACCCUAGAGAUAGGGCUUUCCCUUCGGGGACAGAGUGACAGGUGGUGCAUGGUUGUCGUCAGCUCGUGUCGUGAGAUGUUGGGUUAAGUCCCGCAACGAGCGCAACCCUUGAUCUUAGUUGCCAGCAUUCAGUUGGGCACUCUAAGGUGACUGCCGGUGACAAACCGGAGGAAGGUGGGGAUGACGUCAAAUCAUCAUGCCCCUUAUGACCUGGGCUACACACGUGCUACAAUGGACAGAACAAAGGGCUGCAAGACCGCAAGGUUUAGCCAAUCCCAUAAAUCUGUUCUCAGUUCGGAUCGCAGUCUGCAACUCGACUGCGUGAAGCUGGAAUCGCUAGUAAUCGCGGAUCAGCAUGCCGCGGUGAAUACGUUCCCGGGCCUUGUACACACCGCCCGUCACACCACGAGAGUUUGCAACACCCGAAGUCGGUGAGGUAACCUUUAUGAGCCA
rnacentral:rRNA from 1 species